UCCCUGGAGGACUAGUGGUUAGGCCACAGCGCUCUCCCCUCUGCGGCCCGGGUUCAGUUCCUGGCCAGGGAA
rnacentral:tRNA from 1 species